AUUGAACGCUGGCGGCAGGCUUAACACAUGCAAGUCGAGCGAGCGGCGGACGGGUGAGUAAUGUCUGGGAAACUGCCUGAUGGAGGGGGGUAACUACUGGAAACGGUAGCUAAUACCGCAUACCAUCAGAUGUGGCCAGAGCGGAUUGGCUAGUAGGUGGGGUAAUGGCUCACCUAGGCGACGAUCCCUAGCUGGUCUGAGAGGAUGACCAGCCAAACUGGAACGGAGACACGGUCCAGACUCCUACGGGUGGCAGCAGUGGGGAAUAUUGCACAAUGGGCGCAAGCCUGAUGCAGCCAUGCCGCGUGUGUGAAGAAGGCCUUCGGGUUGUAAAGCACUUUCAGCGAGGAGGCGUUACUCGCAGAAGAAGCACCGGCUAACUCCGUGCCAGCAGCCGCGGUAAUUC
rnacentral:rRNA from 1 species